rnacentral:misc_RNA from 1 species
GUAGGUGAACCUGCGGAAGGAUCAUUACAAAUCAGUUGUUUGUGGGUGGGGGGAGAUAGAUGGGUGUGGGUGAGAGUAGGUGAGUGAGUAUGAGGGUGCGAAAGCACUCUUGCAUUCGUGAGCCUGCACCACUCUACACCCUAAUCUCUCCUCCACACUGCAGACACAUAAGCACGGGGCCGCAAGGCCCUGAUGUUCACGCUUGUAUGUUUGACAGAGUUAUAUUGUGACUAAAAAAGACAACUUUUAA